GGACUACAGGGGUAUCUAAUCCUGUUUGAUCCCCACGCUGUCGUGCCUGAGCGUCAGAAACGAGCCAGUGAGCCGCCUUCGCCACCGGUGUUCUUCCCAAUAUCUACGAAUUUCACCUCUACACUGGGAAUUCCACUCACCUCUCUCGUCCUCAAGCUAAACAGUUUCAAUGGCAAUUCCGGAGUUGAGCUCCGGGCUUUCACCACUGACUUGGAUAGCCGCCUGCGCACGCUUUACGCCCAGUAAUUCCGAACAACGCUAGCCCCCUUCGUAUUACCGCGGCGGCUGGCAC
rnacentral:rRNA from 1 species